GGAUUAAGAUCAAUCUGGAUGGGACAUCUGUCACCCCAUUAAUCACAAGGUUUGGUUUAACUGACCUGGCUGGCUAGGCAACAUCACUUUCCUCCUUCACACCUCCAUGAAUGUCCUUCCUGCACUGCGUGCUCCCCUAGGUCAAAGAGGACGACCUUCCCCUACAUAGAUGGACCAUUCUUUGGUCAAGGGUAUAUGAGUAGCUGUGCUUCCUUGCUGGAAUUACACAAUAAGCUCUCAAGGUUCAUUUGCAGGAGAAGGUAAGGUAGUCAUACUUUCAAGACUCCAGACACAUCUGAAUGAGGCACUGCAUGUCGCAGUCUGUCUUUCUUG
ensembl:misc_RNA 7SK 7SK RNA